rnacentral:rRNA from 1 species
GAUGAACGCUGGCGGCGUGCCUAAUACAUGCAAGUCGAGCGAACAGACGAGGAGCUUGCUCCUCUGACGUUAGCGGCGGACGGGUGAGUAACACGUGGAUAACCUACCUAUAAGACUGGGAUAACUUCGGGAAACCGGAGCUAAUACCGGAUAAUAUAUUGAACCGCAUGGUUCAAUAGUGAAAGACGGUUUUGCUGUCACUUAUAGAUGGAUCCGCGCCGCAUUAGCUAGUUGGUAAGGUAACGGCUUACCAAGGCAACGAUGCGUAGCCGACCUGAGAGGGUGAUCGGCCACACUGGAACUGGGACACGGUCCAGACUCCUACGGGAGGCAGCAGUAGGGAAUCUUCCGCAAUGGGCGGAAGCCUGACGGAGCAACGCCGCGUGAGUGAUGAAGGUCUUCGGAUCGUAAAACUCUGUUAUUAGGGAAGAACACAUGUGUAAGUAACUAUGCACGUCUUGACGGUACCUAAUCAGAAAGCCACGGCUAACUACGUG